rnacentral:rRNA from 1 species
AUUGAACGCUGGCGGCAGGCCUAACACAUGCAAGUCGAACGAGUGGCGGACGGGUGAGUAAUGUCUGGGAAACUGCCUGAUGGAGGGGGCUAACUACUGGAAACGGUAGCUAAUACCGCAUACCAUCGGAUGUGCCCAGAUUGGAUUAGCUAGUAGGUGGGGUAAAGGCUAACCUAGGCGACGAUCCCUAGCUGGUCUGAGAGGAUGACCAGCCACACUGGGACUGAGGCACGGUCCAGACGCCGACGGGAUGCAGCAGUGGGGAAUAUUGCACAAUGGGCGCAAGCCUGAUGCAGCCAGGCCGCGUGUAUGAAGAAGGCCGUCGGGUUGUAAAGUACUUUCAGCGGGGAGGCGUUACCCGCAGAAGAAGCACCGGCUAACUCCGUGCCAGCAGCCGCGGUAAUUC